rnacentral:rRNA from 1 species
UACGUAGGGUGCGAGCGUUACUCGGAAUUACUGGGCGUAAAGCGUGCGCAGGCGGUUUCGUAAGACAGAUGUGAAAUCCCCGGGCUUAACCUGGGAACUGCGUUUGUGACUGCGAGACUCGAGUGCGGCAGAGGGGGGUGGAAUUCCACGUGUAGCAGUGAAAUGCGUAGAGAUGUGGAGGAACACCGAUGGCGAAGGCAGCCCCCUGGGUCGACACUGACGCUCAUGCACGAAAGCGUGGGGAGCAAACAGG